rnacentral:rRNA from 1 species
UACGUAGGGGUCGAGCGUUGUCCGGACUUACUGGGCGUAAAGCGUGGGUAGGUGGUCUGGGAUGUGCCGUGUGAAAGCCCCGCGUUCAUCGCGGGGAGGUCGCGGUAGACACUCGGACUAGAGGCAUGCAGAGGGCAGUGGAAUUCCCGGUGUAGUGGUGAAAUUCGUAGAUAUCGGGAGGAACACCAGCGGCGAAGGCGGCCUUCUGGACGGUGACUGACGCUGAGACGCGAAAGCGUGGGGAGCAAACAGG